AUUGAACGCUGGCGGCAUGCCUUACACAUGCAAGUCGAACGGUAACAGGUCUUCGGAUGCUGACGAGUGGCGAACGGGUGAGUAAUACAUCGGAACGUGCCUAGUAGUGGGGGAUAACUACUCGAAAGAGUGGCUAAUACCGCAUGAGAUCUACGGAUGAAAGCAGGGGAUCGCAAGACCUUGUGCUACUAGAGCGGCCGAUGGCAGAUUAGGUAGUUGGUGGGAUAAAAGCUUACCAAGCCGACGAUCUGUAGCUGGUCUGAGAGGACGAUCAGCCAAACUGGGACUGGGACACGGCCCAGGCUCCUACGGGAGGCAGCAGUGGGGAAUUUUGGACAAUGGGCGCAAGCCUGAUCCAGCAAUGCCGCGUGCAGGAUGGAGGCCUUCGGGUUGUAAACUGCUUUUGUACGGAACGAAAAGCCCUGGGUUAAUACCCUGGGGUCAUGACGGUACCGUAAGAAUAAGCACCGGCUAACUACGUGCCAGCCGCCGCGGUAAAAC
rnacentral:rRNA from 1 species